UNUGAAGUUAAAGGCUGUGGCUUAACCAUAGUACGCUUUGGAAACUGUUUAACUUGAGUGCAGAAGGGGAGAGUGGAAUUCCAUGUGUAGCGGUGAAAUGCGUAGAUAUAUGGAGGAACACCGGUGGCGAAAGCGGCUCUCUGGUCUGUAACUGACGCUGAGGCUNGAAAGCGUGGGGAGCGAACAGGAUUAGAUACCCUGGUAGUNCACGCCGUAAACGAUGAGUGCUAGGUGUUAGGCCCUUUCCGGGGCUUAGUGCCGCAGCUAACGCAUUAAGCACUCCGCCUGGGGAGUACGACCGCAAGGUUGAAACUCAAAGGAAUUGACGGGGGCCCGCACAAGCGGUGGAGCAUGUGGUUUAAUUCGAAGCAACGCGAAGAACCAUACCAGGUCUUGACAUCCCGAUGCCCGCUCUAGAGAUAGAGUUUUACUUCGGUACAUCGGUGACAGGUGGUGCAUGGUUGUCGUCAGCUCGUGUCGUGAGAUGUUGGGUUAAGUCCCGCAACGAGCGCAACCCUUAUUGUUAGUUGCCAUCAUUCAGUUGGGCACUCUAGCGAGACUGCCGGUAAUAAACCGGAGGAAGGUGGGGAUGACGUCAAAUCAUCAUGCCCCUUAUGACCUGGGCUACACACGUGCUGCAAUGGCUGGUACAACGAGUCGCAAGUCGGUGACGGCAAGCUAAUCUCUUAAAGCCAGUCUCAGUUCGGAUGUAGGCUGCAACUCGCCUACAUGAAGUCGGAAUCGCUAGUAAUCGCGGAUCAGCACGCCGCGGUGAAUACGUUCCCGGGCCUUGUACACACCGCCCGUCACACCACGAGAGUUUGUAACACCCGAAGUCGGUGAGGUANCCUUUUAGGAGCCA
rnacentral:rRNA from 1 species